CAUUUACACCCAAAAUAAACCCAAGAUCUUAGCCCAAUUACAUAAAUAAUUAAAACCCAAAUAACCUAAACCCUAGCCCAACAAGCAGCCCAAUACACCUAACAUUUUCAGCAGAGAAAAAAAAAACAAAAAACCCUAGGUAGCCGCAAGCCUAACAGCAACCAAAUGCGCUAUCGUCGCCGCCAUUUACACGCCACACCUCCACGUUGACUGGCCACGUACCUGUUG
rnacentral:lncRNA from 1 species